rfam:Tupaia chinensis contig35010, whole genome shotgun sequence.
GUGCUUGCUUCGGCAGCACAUGUACUAAAAUUGGAACAAUACGGAGAAGAUUAGCAUGGCCCUCACGCAAGGAUGACACACAAAUUCAUGAAGCAUUCCAUACUUUU